AUUGAACGCUGGCGGCAGGCCUAACACAUGCAAGUCGAACGAGUGGCGCACGGGUGAGAAAUGUCUGGGAAACUGCCUGAGGGAGGGGGAUAACUACUGGAAACGGUAGCUAAUAGCGUAUACCAUAGUAAGUGCCCAUAUGGGAUUCGCUAGUAGGUGGGGUAAUGGCUCCCCUAGGCGACGAUCCCUAGCUGGUCUGAGAGGAUGACCAGCCACACUGGAACUGAGACACGGUCCAGACUCCUACGGGAGGCAGCAGUGGGGAAUAUUGCACAAUGGGCGCAAGCCUGAUGCAGCCAUGCCGCGUGUAUGAAGAAGGCCUUCGGGUUGUAAAGUACUUUCAGCGGGGAGGCGUUACCCACAGAAGAAGCACCGGCUAACUCCGUGCCAGCAGCCGCGGUAAUUC
rnacentral:rRNA from 1 species